UACAUAUAUAUUUAUUGUAAUUUAAUAGCGAUCUAGAUAUUCGUGCCUCUUCGCCGACACAUGUAAGUAGCGCAAAAUUAUGCGGAUGUCAAACGCGAUGAAGAUUGUAAAAAUCGAUGAAGACCGGCAUUUUUCCUGGCCCCGAUAACGACCAGCGCUCUCACAUUUGAAUGGCUGUAUGUACGUGUUAUCAGAUUAAACAUUUCUGAUGAAGAAGUACGAUAGCGAAGACAUCAUGACUUCCAACUAUUAAAAUGAUAACUGACAACAAUGCAGGCUCUUGAUGAACGUGGUCGAUCGGUCUGUCUAUCGAAUCUCUCGUGUAAGAGAAGGGAAACGUUGAUGACUUCGAAUCCGUACAAUCUGAGAAUCAUUAUUCCCAGUCACUUGCGAGAAUUUAAUCAAAUAAAGUACACGUAUCGAUAUCGCGCUUGCGAUAUAAAAGGAAAAGAAUUGGAAAUAACGGCAAAAUAUAAUCUAACAAUGAUUUAUAAAAGAUUGUAAAUAAAAAUCAAUAAAACAGGUUCAAUGAC